rnacentral:lncRNA from 1 species
GCUCUCCAUGCCUACCUGUGGUCUCUUGGACACCCUUGCAGGUAUGUGGGCAGGGAACUGCAUGUUUAUAGGAAACAGGCCUAGGAUGGAAGGAGUUAAUAGAUCUUGCUCUUCUUGAGUUUGAUGACAUUUGUUUCCAGUUAAAUAGCAUGAAAACCCAUCUGAGAGCCAGCUGAGGGUGGAUACAGUUCUGGGGAGUUAAAGACGAGUGGUCACAACAGGUCUUCCUCGGCAAUCCGAGCCCAAAACUGAAUCUGCCUCCAUAAGACCAUUAUGUGUCAGCUCUUUAUUUAUAUGAUUGAUUCAUCCAGUGGACUUUUAAUUUCUUAUGUCCAGAUAUUUUUUCAGUUCUUUUUUUCGUGAUACAAGCACCUUGUGGAUUGCCUGUCAUAGAACAGGUUCUCAAUAAACUUUUAUUGAAAAAAGAUGUAUAAGUAGAUUGUCUUGAGUAAUUUUGUGAAUAACCUGACCAACUAAGCAGUAGAAGACAAAUGAUUUUAAAACAGAAAGAGACAUAACUUUCAGUGGGAUUCAGGUGAUCUAGUCGGGUCUGGAAAUGCGCAAGAGAGAAGGUCCCUGAUGCAGUGUGCUGACAUUGAAAUGUGUAGUUGUGGACUAGAUGGUUAUGGUUUCAGAACUGUGUAAGUAAGGGGUAGAUUCCAAAUUAAAUCAAUAUUAAAGAGUAGCAGAGAAGGAAUUUCCAGAUUCCAGCUGCAUUGCUUGUUUCAUUGGAAGUGGUGUUUCUCUUUUUUCUUUUUUUUCUUUCUUUUUUUUUUUUUUUUUUAAACCUCAGAAGAUGACUUCCUGGGAACUCUUCUGGGAGUGAAUGUUAUCAGCAAAUUCCCAAAACAACACCCCUUAGACAAAAAGCCUCCUCACCUAUGCAUUGCCUAGACCACCCACUAAAGGUGAUGGCCACAAAGAGGUGGAUUUGUUGAGUUGGUGCCAUUCCUUCUACUGCCAGCUUCACCAAAACAAUGACACAGUCUUCCUUCCGCAUGGAGACUCUUCUCUUUCCUGUGUUGCAGUGGAUGCCUCCUGCAGAUAAGAAAUGCUUAACUGAGAAAUGCUCAUGUUGGGAUAUCAUCGAUGAGACUUUAAUUUGGGCAUGGUGACUGUUUCCCUUGCUGCCACUUGACUCAAUCCCAGGAGCCUCAGUAGAGGAUAUAAUAUUACACAAGAUGCUC